GGCACUCGGAUGUCUAGCAUGCGAGUCAUUGUAGCAUACAAGGCGGACGGCUCAGUAACACGUAGUCAACCUAACUCGUGGACGUGGAUAACCUCGGGAAACUGAGAAUAAACCACGAUAGACCAUAGUGCCUGGAAUGGCUUAUGGUCCAAACAGUUUACUGCCAUGGGAUGGGACUGCGGCCUAUCAGCUUGUUGGUGAGGUAAUGGCCCACCAAGGCGAUUACAGGUACGGGCUCUGAGAGGAGAAGCCCGGAGAUGGGUACUGAGACACGGACCCAGGCCCUAUGGGGCGCAGCAGGCGAGAAACCUUAGCAAUGUGCGAAAGCACGACUGGGUCAGUCCGAGUGAUUCCUGAUAAAGGAGUCUUUUGCUUGUCCUAAAAGCACAGGUGAAUAAGGGGUGGGCAAGUCUGGUGUCAGCUGCCGCGGUAAUACCAGCACCUCGAGUGGUCAGGGCGUUUAUUGGGCCUAAAGCAUCCAUAGCCGGCUUUGCAAGUCUUCGGUUAAAUCCACCUGCUCAACAGAUGGGCUGCUGGAGAUACUACAAAGCUAGGGAGUGGGAGAGGCAGACGGUAUUCAGUGGGUAGGGGUAAAAUCCUCUGAUCCAUUGAGGACCACCAGUGGCGAAGGCGGUCUGCCAGAACACGUUCGACGGUGAGGGAUGAAAGCUGGGGGAGCAAACCGGAUUAGAUACCCGGGUAGUCCCAGCUGUAAACGAUGCAAACUCGGUGAUGCAUUGGCUUAUGGCCAAUGCAGUGCCGCAGGGAAGCCGUUAAGUUUGCCGCCUGGGAAGUACGGACGCAAGUCUGAAACUUAAAGGAAUUGGCGGGGGAGCACCACAAAGGGGUGAAGCCUGCGGUUCAAUUGGAUUCAACGCCGG
rnacentral:rRNA from 1 species